AGACAGAGGGUGCAAGCGUUAAUCGGAAUUACUGGGCGUAAAGGGCACGUAGGCGGUUCUUUAAGUUAUGUGUGAAAUCCCUGGGCUUAACCGAGGUAUUGCAUGUAAAACUGGAGGACUAGAGUAUAGUAGAGGGUAGUGGAAUUUCCGGUGUAGCGGUGAAAUGCGUAGAUAUCGGAAGGAAUAUCAGUGGCGAAGGCGACUUCCUGGCCCAAUAUUGACGCUCAGGUGCGAAAGCGUGGGGAGCAAACAGGAUUAGAAACCCCAGUAGUCC
rnacentral:rRNA from 1 species